GUCUACAGCCAUACCACCCUGAAUAUACCUAAUCUCAUCUGAUCUCAGAAGCUAAGCAGGGUCGGGCCUGAUUAAUACUUGGAUGGGAGAAAGAAGCUAAGAAGCACAUGAGUAUGAGUUC
rfam:Mesocricetus auratus contig012435, whole genome shotgun sequence.